rnacentral:rRNA from 1 species
CCUACGGGAGGCAGCAGUAGAGAAUCAUUCACAAUGGGGGAAACCCUGAUGGGGCGACGCCGCGUGGGGGAAUGAAGGUCUUCGGAUUGUAAACCCCUGUCAUGUGGGAGCAAAUUAAAAAGAUAGUACCACAAGAGGAAGAGACGGCUAACUCUGUGCCAGCAGCCGCGGUAAUACAGAGGUCUCAAGCGUUGUUCGGAAUCACUGGGCGUAAGGCGUGCGUAGGCUGUUUCGUAAGUCGUGUGUGAAAGGCGCGGGCUCAACCCGCGGACGGCACAUGAUACUGCGAGACUAGAGUAAUGGAGGGGGAACCGGAAUUCUCGGUGUAGCAGUGAAAUGCGUAGAUAUCGAGAGGAACACUCGUGGCGAAGGCGGGUUCCUGGACAUUAACUGACGCUGAGGCACGAAGGCCAGGGGAGCGAAAGGGAUUAGAUACCCUGGUAGUC